rnacentral:tRNA from 1 species
GGGGUUGUGGCUCAGUGGUAGAGCGCUCGCCUAGCGUGUGCGAGGGGCUGGGUUUGGUCCUCAGUACCACA